GCAGCCGCAGCCCCUGGCGCUAACGGUCGGUAACGGCCCGCGCGCGCCGCCCGCCGGGGGCUCGCGCCAGCCACGAGGGAGCGUCCGCGGCCCGCGCGCCCGCGCGGCGGAGGAGAGGUGUUAAGUGUGAUGCUUCCAUAAUACAUUUGGAUGCUGUCAGCUAAGUUCACUUCUGAACUAAGGGGUUCCUCCAAAUGUUGGCUGAAAUUCAUCCCAAGGCUGGUCUGCAAAGUCUGCAAUUCAUAAUGGAGCUACUGUACUGGCUAUUGGAAGGAGGAGAUUCUGAAGAUAAGGAGGUAAUAUUAUCUCUUUUAAAAGAAUACUUUCCUCUGUAAUCCUGAAUCUUUAUUACAUGUAAGAACUUUGUGCAGUAGACAGCAAUUUCUUUGAAUUUGGUAUAUGGAAACAAUUUUAUUUUCCUCUGCUAAGUUUUUGAGCCUGCCUCUUCUAGUGCCAUGGACUGCAUUGGUAGAGCUGAGAAAUAUCAUUUAGCCAUACUCAGCACCCUUAAAAUAGCUUCUUUCUGAGAAUUAGAUCUGUGAAGGUGUCCUGCACAGUUCUUGUAGAUGUCAUUUUAGUUUGUGGUUGACGUGCAUGCAUUUAGCAUGUUGCUUAACCGUCCUCAUUCGCCUCCCAGUUCUUUGUUGCCUUCAUUUGGGGGGAUGUGUUUUCUGCUGGAUGAUUUACUGCUAGACAUGACCAAACUCUGAGUAUAAGACUUGGUGUUUGGCAGCUGGUUCCAGUGCUCUGCUGAGAAGUAGUUGGGCCCAGCCUGGGGCAUUGUAGUGUCCUGGAGGCCGGGAGCUCCUGCACAGGGGUUCUUUUCCUGGUUCAGAGCCUUAGGUGCCUUUCCACUUUUCACGUAAUCUUUUCCUAGGUUGGCUUGCUGCUUACUUUGCAGCUGUUGCAGGGAUUCACAUGGAAUGGAGGGCUCCCUUUUAUUGUGGAUUAUUUCUUUGAUAAUUUACCCAUGUGCUUUUUCAUUUUCAAAAACCCAGUGGUGUUUAAGAAUGAAAGAUUCUUGAAGAACAAAAAUUGGGUUAAAUUUGUAUCUAUCAGAAAAGAUUCUAUCCUCUGAUGCUAUGUAGGCACAUUGAAUAUGCAGGCUAAAUUAAAAACAGAGUAAAACCUUUUUAUAAUAUGCCAAUUACUAUAUCUAAGAAUGUUUAUACAGGCUGAAAUUUUGUAAUGGUAUUUAUAUCUGUUUUCCUUUUUAAGGAAAAUAAUAUACUUUUCUAGGCAUCAAAAAUAUCUGCCCCUUUCACUAAUGCUGAUGUACCACCUUCCCCCAACCCCCAACGCUAAAUUUGACUGGCUUAAAAACAUCUGCCCCCUGAACUAUAUCUGGGGAGGAAUAUUAAUAAAACAAUGAAGGACUUCAUGGUGUCUAGUUAUAUAAUUAGGAAAUUGGUUAGAAACGUGGCUAAAACCAGUUUCUUUCAUUAAAAGAACUAGUGUACAUUUAAAAACAAAAACCUUCAGGAAAAAGACUCUUUGAUCUUUAAGUCAAAUAGUAUUUUUGGUUAACACAGCAGGAAGGGGAAAUAUACCAAUUUCAGAUUCUUUUAUUUAUGCCUAAGUAGAGGUUGUAAGCAGCUAAGGAAGUGAUUAAAAUGUAGUCUAGUAAAAAAUGGUGCUGAUUACUUGGAAAGCAGUUUACAUUUGCAAAAAAAUUCAGUAUUAUGACCUUCACCAACUUUUACACAUCAUAUACUUGGGUUAUUACUUAUGGUAUAGCUUGUGUAUGGAAUGCAAGGGUAUUUUCAAAUUGACUAGGUCUUGCUGGUCAUCUUAAAAUAUGUUACAAUAUUACAAAAUUGAAAUGUAAUAUUUUUUAAUAGAAGGAAAAUAUAAAUUUAAUAUCUGGGCAAUUGAGACCUUUAAACUUACUUUAAAAGUAUGAUCUUGAUGUAUAUGAUACUGUUUUGUCUUUGCUAUAUUAACAGAAUUAGAGGGGUGUUCUGCAAUUCAAAUACCUUAUAUAUUCCAAAUUUUAUUCUCUAUAAUGGACUUUUAAAAUAAAAGGUAUAUGUGCUUCAAGAGGGCAAAAUUUGAAUCAUGAGCUAAUUUGCUAAGCAUCAGAUUAUAGAAAAGCAUCCUUGAUUAAUUUGGAACUGUGAAAGGGGGCGGGUAAAACUGUUUUCUGCAGAAAUUUACUAGUGCAGCAACCAUUUAAAUUAAAUGUUUGUUAACAUAAUAGUGAUGGCAUUUUCUCCUCCCCCUCCUUGUGGUUUUGUCCAACUAGAUGUUACAGUGGCAGUUGCACUGACUGUUAAGUGUUUAAAUGAUGACACCAUUAUGUGAAGUGAUUUUGAAAUGAGAGAUUCCAGCCAAGAAUUACAUCUGCUCCCAUCUCCUUCAAAUCAUACUCUCUGGCAGUACAGAUUAUGAUUGAUUUGUUUGUGACAGAUUGCAGGAAACAGUCAUUGAUUUUUCAAUAUUUUACCUUAAAAUUAUUUACAGUUGUAACCAUGGGGAGGUAUUUUCAUGGGCUGUCAGCCCCUGAAAGACUAGGAUAAUAUUCCCUGCUCUCUGACAAGACAAAUUACCUGUAAUGAGUGCAGUAGCUGAAGGGUAUACUUUUAUUUUAAAAUAUGUCAAUAACCCCAGUGACUAAACGAAUAUUGAUUUAGCAUAAUGAAGCCUGAGUAACGUGAAAAUGAGCUUUUUCAAGGGGCAUGGUAAAGUCUUUCUUUUUAGCUGGUUGUAAGAAGCUUUUGAUUCUUUUCAGCCAGCUGGUAGGAAUAUAGAAUUUUAUAAGCAAACCAUCAGGAAUGAUAGUGUUGUUUCUGAUAAGCAACAUCCAAAUAUUUUGACCCUGCUUUUAGUGGUUUUUUUCAAAUCUUAUUUUGAGUCUUACUUUUAGUCAUAGAAUAGCUACUGAUUUGAUGCGGUCUUUAACUGACUUAAUAUUUUUACAAUUUCAAUAUAUUUUGCAUUGGAAUCUCCAGUAAUGAAUAUUAAAAUAUAUGUACAAUCAUUUGUAGAUGAUAUCAAUUAUAUUAAGACAUUUCAGAUGGGCUAUUGUAGUAUUUAAUGUGCCGUAUUUUAUGGUAGAAUAAUUCUCAGUCUCUGGACAUCAAGAUUGCUUUCAGUGGGAAUGAAGAUUAAUUUACUUCAGUCCUGAUUUUUUAGGCAUCAAUGCAUGUUUUCAUUUUUGUCAGACUUUUACCCUCUUUUAAUGUAAUUCUCAACUUCUUAUGGAUUUACUUCCCAAUACAUAAAAUCCUUCAAAACAAGAAUGAUAAUAAUUUUUAUACUUUUUAUAAAAAUAAAUUUAUUUUUAGUCCAUCAAGGUGUCUGAAGAUUUUAUGCCUAGGUAUCUCCAUAUCUAACUUGAUAAGGAAAAUAGGAUAAACAAUGCUGGUAAUAGCAGGAAAGUAAGUAUUUGAAUAAGAUGUCAAACUGAUAUUUCAUGUGAACCUAACUCAUUUUAUGGUAACUAAUAAUUAUCUUAUUUAAAUCAAUAGGUAAAACCUGUUUAGAAAUUAAAAAUGAGUUACGAUUUAAAGAAAAUUCAGAUGACUCAUUGUGAGUGCUAGUUCUCUUGUAGGAUGCCACUGGAAAUGUUGAAAUGAAAAAUGUAAGUAUAUCUUUUGGUGGAAAAAAGGAUAGUCUCUAGGACACAAAAUUACUGUUUUAUUUUUUUCUCAGGAGUUUGCCUAAGGGUGUGACAGAUGAUCUCUGUCACUUGUCUUAGUUGUGUCCUGCAAUAAACUGGAUGCUUUAUAAAAUACUAGACCUGUGAUUUCGUAUGCUGUAAUAUUUCAUUUCUCCAUCACCCCUCCAAAUUAUUUCUUAGUUUGGAGUAAAAUAAUAAAUGUAUUAUAGUCAACAUCUCUUGACCCCUCUUUAGUUUCAGCUAAACUAAGCAUGUGUGUUUGUGUGUUCAUUUUAUAGUUCAUGUGUAGAACUAUGUGAAUUAAAUUUAAGAAACAUGUAAAGUAGAGGAAAUAGUUUUCUGGAGAAAUUUUUCCUUUUUGGAUAUUAUGCCCUUUUCCAUUGCUUUUCUCUGCUUGAAAGCAAAAAAAAGUACCCUACCCCUGUUCUCCUUUAGGGAAAAACUAUUCCUAUAAAGUAUUUUUAAAUCGUGCAAGUCAUUGCCUAGGGUUAGCUAAAACAUUUCUUUUUAAAAAGGAGAAAAUGCCCUGGCUUUAACAUUUUCUUGUAUUUGUAUCUAUUAAGAUAAACAGUUUACUUUGAUACAGUACAUACCAAUCUACUUAAUUUUUUUUCCAGGAUUCCUUUUACUAUGUUUGGUCUGACCUUUUAUGAUAACUUAAUAUGGGAACAAAUUAGCAUAUAAUUCUAUUUUCCAUGUGACCUCAACCAGUUGCAGAAUUGUACCACUACUUUAGGGGGGGCAAUUUGACAGUUUAUGUAGACUAUAGCAUUAAUUGUUCCCAAAUGUUCAGUGCAUCCUGGCUAAUGUGUUAUUGAAGGUGUUUUCACGUAAGCAGUUAGAGGAAGCACUUCACCCCUAUUACUAAGUUAUUAAAAUGCCUCCUAAAGGUAGCAUUUUAAAUUAGUAUACAUAAUUGAUUAGUAAUUUGUCUUCUCCCAAGCAUAAAACAGCAUAGCAGAGUUAAGUGUGACCAGUGAAGUAUAAGAUAUUAGGGAUUGAUGGUGACAAUGAUCAUAGCAACUAAAUGGAUUUUUUUUUUCUUUUAGAUUCAGCCGUUGGUCUUUGAAAUUUCCUGUGAUGUGUUUCAAUCUAGAUGCAA
rnacentral:lncRNA from 1 species